AACCAUCCCUCCAGCCCUAAAGAAUGUAUUUAAGGGCUGCAGAGAUGGCUUAG
rnacentral:miRNA from 1 species